GAAGGCGACGAGCAGUUGGCUCGCUCUCGCCAGAAGCUCCGAGCGGCGGGUUCGAUUCCCGCCGCCUCCACCA
rnacentral:tRNA from 1 species